rnacentral:piRNA from 1 species
AGGGCUUGCAUGAUGUCCUUUGGAAUG